AAAUCUGAAUACAAGGUGGUCUUUCUAUACAUAGUGCCAAAACUCUCUCUCUCCCUAACACAAACAAAAGAAGGAGUAACCACCUAUUGCAAAACGGACUCUCUCCCGAGCUAGCUACGCGACACCCUUGCCGCGAUCCCGUGCCUCCGCCGGUGCCGAAGGCUCUGAAAAGAAAACAUAGAAACAGGGGCGUGAGAACUAUUAAAUAAUAGUUCCCAGUGG
rnacentral:lncRNA from 1 species